rnacentral:lncRNA from 1 species
ACAUUAAGUGCACGAACAACAUUCACAUAAGACUGUCUGCGAGAUGAUCUGAUCUGUCGCCCAGGGCAAAGAGAAACCUGCUCCGCUAGUUACUAUUAAUCGGAAAUUGUUUAACUCGUCUGAUAAACAUCUGAUUGGUCUAUAAGUAUACAGCGUGCAAUAACGUUCGUUGUUAUCAAUCGCGAAAUGUAUAAUCCCAUACCUUAAUACGAUGCUACUUCUCUUUCAGCACAUAAUCAUUUAGAACACAUCCAGAACAUUGAAACAACUUUAUCGUAUUACUGAUUGCACGACUCUUCCAUUUGUGAAAAUUACACCCACUAAAUUUUAUCACCGUUAUGUGCGUCGUCAUCUAAUAUUACAUGCGCGAAAUUGAAAACGCGCAUUUAAAUUCAGACACUCAUCCCUCUGGUGGUGGAAUAGAGUACUUGAUCCGUAGGGACGAGAAAAACAAUGAACCGUAGUAAGGGUUAGAUCGAAAUAAAGAGAUGGGAUUUCUUUUGUAGAGUUUGACUCUCUGAAGUACUUUCAAGAUGAAUGACUAACACGCUGUGUCAAUUUUUCUUCUCUUUGUAAAAAAGGAAACUGUAACGCUUCAUGCUGUAUCGAUUGACAUCAUUAUCAUUACCACUUUUGCGUAAAAGGAAAUUGAAAUCGCUCUUUAAUCAAGCAUACAGUGUAAGGAGAAAAACCAUCAAGAAAGCACGUCAACAACGGAUUGGAAAAUUAGAGCAGAGAUGAGCGCGUGCAAUGGAUUCGGAAAGAUCUGUCAUCGCUUUCGAAAAUUUCUCCCUUUUUCCUCGAGGCAGGCGAAAGACCCCUUUACAACUACCCAAGUUGCGGGGAAGCUACGAGAAACGGCCCUGAUGGCCUGUAAACAAGUGAAACAGAACUUUCACGGCCACGAGCUCGACCUGGUCACUUCGUUUUAGGUGUACAGAUAUUACAUAUAUAGUACAUACGAAGUCGGACAAAAAAACGAAGCAGAAACAGCAACGGUUAUCCCAGCCUGGUCUCUGUGAGAGCAGAAUCGACGCAUAAAAAGGAAACAGGUUAUCGAAUUAAAGCGAUACCGGUCCCGAGACGUGUAAUUUCUAUCCCCAGGCUAUUCCAGAAUAAUAUUUGGAGGGCAACGGUACACGCCUUGGGCGAAUCUUUCAAUAUUUUCCAUCUUUGAUUCUCGAUUUAUGACACGUCUUUCCACUAUAGUACCAUGGAAACCCAGGCGAAAAAAUGCUUCACUACGCAAUAAGAUCGUUUUCGUUUACUUACGAACUCGGAUAGAUCAUAUUACACCUCGACGCCAUGGUUCGGAGAUGUUCAAGAUAGUGUCUAGGACGCGUGACGAGCAUACACUUUUCUAACACACUCCAAUGGAUUUCCAGUUAGAUAAUAAUAAAAGUAAAAAAAAAAAAAAGAAAAAAAAGAAGAAAAAGAAAAAAAAGAGCAUUUAUCGAUUGCACGUGCGAAAAGUAUAGUGUAAAAGUAAACGUUUCGCGGAAAAAGGUUAUGUUACGCGUUCAACCGCGAAAUACAGUAUCACGAUUGUUUACUAAAUUACACAAUUACGCGUUACAGAGAAACGAGUUGGAAAAAUAUAACAAUGAAAUGUGCAAAUUGAUUUUAUAUCAUUACUUUAUUGCUUUUUUUCACGUUAAUGUUUUACAAGAAUCUUAUCAUUUCAAUAUUUGCAAUUACGACACAAUGACUGUGUUUUUUCUACAAUAUCGAUCACUUUAUCGUGUUAUUCGUAAUAGAUUAAUUUAUUUAUCUGUCGAUCAUGAACAAUGUUAAAGCUUCUAAAUGUAUAAAUUAAAAAAAUUACUCGAAGUUAUAUACGUACGUAUAUAAACUGACAUGUACUCUGCACGCAUGUGCGACCGUUAAAUUUUUCGUCACUUUCGUGAAGUUUGCCGCGUUUGUUUCUAUUUCCCACACACACGCGUGUCUUUCUACCCUCCUGCAGCAGUGACAGUGAAUUAAAACAACACUUCGUGUGCUCGUGUCCGUUUAUAUUUAGAGCGUGGAUGCACAAGAAAACGUAAGAGGCUACUUGGUAAGAGCGGAGUCACGUUGCUUAUAACGUUACAUGAUAUCGAUCGCCAGACUGUUAUCCGAUAACGAAAGUUAUUACUAAUGUAUCAAUAAAGAUUACUUAUUAUUUUUUUACUUUUGUAUCAGAUAAUAAUGCAAGUUAUUAAUAUGUAAAUUGAAUGUAUGUUUUCCGAGCAAAAAUAUUUCCUUCCGUAGGAGUCGAAUAAAGAUUUUUACGAAUAAGAAACGAAGACAAUCGGCUUUGUCUGGUGUAGAAAAGUCAAUAUUAUCGUGUCUAUCGAUACGAAUAAUGACUUAUAUACCUCGACUGUUUAUAAAUGGAAUGGAUAUUUCAGAGAAAAAUUAAAUUCGUUAAUUGUUUUUAGAAAAAAACAAUAGCGAUUUUCGAAGUAUACAAAAAUGACCGAUGUAUUGAUUAAAAUUUUCAAUAAUUGAAAUAAUCUAUGACAAAAAUUCUGGGAAUCCUUGUUAUAUAUUUUUUCUUUGACCCUAAUAUUUUCUUCCCGGUCGUUUCUUCAAAAGUACACCGUUAAGGUGUACUUUACAUAUUUUAUCGAAGUAUGAUAAACAAUAUGGUUGACACUUUUCUCGGUAUAGUAAUGUUUUGCACUGUAAAUGUGAGACCAUUGUCCGUUUGUCAAUACAAGGUACCGUAUGUGCACCAGUGCGAUCAGACUGCGCUUUCGUUAUACAAAUGCACUCGCAAACAUAUAUGGUUCCCUUCUCGUGACUCGCAUUCACUAUGAUCAAAUAAUAAAAUAAUGUCAACCGAGUACUUAUUUUCUUUUUUAAAGGAUAAAAAAUUUAAAUGCUCAUAUGUUUCAACGACUUUUUUUCAAUUUUUUCUCAAGAAUAAAUAUAAAUGUUCUCCUAACCUAAAAUAAUCUAAACUCUUAACGCUUCUGAAAACACUAUAAUAAUGCACUGUGCAUCAUCAUAUAUAUAUAUAUAUGUGCAUCAUCAGUGAGACUGUAUUCGUUAUUACACGUUUAACUUAUGUAUAGUUUACACAUACAUGUUCAUGAAUACACGUGCGUACGCUAUUAUGAGUAGACAAGCGUGAGAUUCCUGGACAGACGCCUCUCGGUUCGUGUAUGCAUCUGCAUUUGCGUCGAAUGAGGUUAACGUUAAUGAGGCACAAACAUCUCCAGACACUGUAGUCAGACCUUCCCUUUUAUUCACCCUGUCACGAGCCCUUGCGGCUAUACUGCGCGUGCACACCAUUGAAAGGUGAUUUUUUCAAACCGACCAUUCGUUCGUUCCACUCGAUCAACGAACUACAACUACGUGGUCAACGCACGCGGCUUUGCGAGGAAACAGCCGGUUCUGACACACAAAGGGUUUCGAAAGAUUUUAGAAAUAAUUUACGAUUUCACGCGUUACAAAAAUUCUUAUUAGAUUCGUUAAGAAUAUCGGAAUCGCGCAUAACAAAAAUAACAUAACCUCUAAAUAUAAAUAAUGUUCCUUCGGGUAAAGAAUAUUCAUCUUGAAGAUCAGAAUAUGUCAUAUUACAUGCACGGUAAUAAAUCAUCGCAUAGGAAUAAUUAAUAUCGCAUCAAAAACUUUCUCUAUAUUGCAGAAAGAAAUUAAGAUGAAAGAUUUGAAAGGAUCCAUUAAACUUCUCGCAGCGAACAAAACAAAACCCUACCUUACCAUCGAAACAAAAAGCGAUACAAAAAUGUUCGAUAUGUAUAUAUAUAUAUAUAUAUAUAUAGAACCAGGUAGAAAUCUUUUGAAUGUGGUCUUCUUUCCAAAGACCAUAUAUCACUUGGUCUUGGGUCACCAAUAAAUACAAAGUGUACGAUGCCUGUGUACCGUUAUUCGUUCUAGAGACUUGGUCCUUAUCAAAUGCACGCUAUUGCACAACAUUUAAGUAUCGAGAUGUGAUAAAAAAAGUAA